UACGGAGGGGGUUAGCGUUGUUCGGAAUGACCGGGCGUAAAGCGCGCGUAGGCGGAUCGGAAAGUCGGGGGUGAAAGCCCGGGGCUCAACCCCGGAACUGCCUUUAAAACUGCAUCGCUUGAAUCCAGGAGAGGUGAGUGGAAUUCCGAGUGUAGAGGUGAAAUUCGUAGAUAUUCGGAAGAACACCAGUGGCGAAGGCGGCUCACUGGACUGGUAUUGACGCUGAGGUGCGAAAGCGUGGGGAGCAAACAGGAU
rnacentral:rRNA from 1 species